GACGAACGCUGGCGGCGUGCCUAAUACAUGCAAGUCGAGCGAGCUUGCCUAGAUGAAUUUGGUGCUUGCACCAAAUGAAACUAGAUACAAGCGAGCGGCGGACGGGUGAGUAACACGUGGGUAACCUGCCCAAGAGACUGGGAUAACACCUGGAAACAGAUGCUAAUACCGGAUAACAACACUAGACGCAUGUCUAGAGUUUAAAAGAUGGUUCUGCUAUCACUCUUGGACGGACCUGCGGUGCAUUAGCUAGUUGGUAAGGUAACGGCUUACCAAGGCAAUGAUGCAUAGCCGAGUUGAGAGACUGAUCGGCCACAUUGGGACUGAGACACGGCCCAAACUCCUACGGGAGGCAGCAGUAGGGAAUCUUCCACAAUGGACGCAAGUCUGAUGGAGCAACGCCGCGUGAGUGAAGAAGGGUUUCGGCUCGUAAAGCUCUGUUGGUAGUGAAGAAAGAUAGAGGUAGUAACUGGCCUUUAUUUGACGGUAGUUACUUAGAAAGUCACGGCUAACUACGUGCCAGCAGCCGCGGUAAUACGUAGGUGGCAAGCGUUGUCCGGAUUUAUUGGGCGUAAAGCGAGUGCAGGCGGUUCAAUAAGUCUGAUGUGAAAGCCUUCGGCUCAACCGGAGAAUUGCAUCAGAAACUGUUGAACUUGAGUGCAGAAGAGGAGAGUGGAACUCCAUGUGUAGCGGUGGAAUGCGUAGAUAUAUGGAAGAACACCAGUGGCGAAGGCGGCUCUCUGGUCUGCAACUGACGCUGAGGCUCGAAAGCAUGGGUAGCGAACAGG
rnacentral:rRNA from 1 species